rnacentral:misc_RNA from 1 species
AACGCACAUUGCGCCCGCCAGCAUUCUGGCGGGCAUGCCUGUUCGAGCGUCAUUUCAACCCUCGAGCCCGACUUCCUUGCGGAGGACGGCUCGGCGUUGGGGGACGGCACACUCCCCCCGGCUUGCCGGGGACGCCGCCCCCGAAAUUCAGUGGCGGCCCUCGGAGGCGACCUCUGCGUAGUAACUCAACCUCGCAAAGGAAAGCUCCGAGCGGCCACGCCGUGAAACCCCAACUCUUCAAGGUUGACCUCGAAUCAGGUAGGACUACCCGCUGAACUUAA